rnacentral:pre_miRNA from 1 species
AAUAAGUGCAACCGUGAAAAUCCGUGUCCAACGUUUGACCGUCCGUCUUAUUUGAAAAAUUUAUAAAAAAAAUUAGUCACACAUAAAUUACUAUUCAUGUUUUAUCAUCUAAUAACAAUAAAAAUAGUAAUUAUACAUUUUUUUCAAAUAAGACAAACGGUCAAACGUUGAAGAUGAAUAGUGCAAAACUUCACUUAUU